rnacentral:rRNA from 1 species
GACGGAGGAUGCAAGUGUUAUCCGGAAUCACUGGGCGUAAAGCGUCUGUAGGUGGUUAAGUUAAGUCAACUGUUAAAUCUUGAGGCUCAACCUCAAAAUCGCAGUCGAAACUAUUAGGCUAGAGUAUAGUAGGGGUAAAGGGAAUUUCCAGUGGAGCGGUGAAAUGCGUAGAGAUUGGAAAGAACACCGAUGGCGAAGGCACUUUACUGGGCUAUUACUAACACUCAGAGACGAAAGCUAGGGUAGCAAAUGGG